ACAGUGGCUAAGACUGGAUAGGAAGAUAAAAGGCAUCUUUUAUCUUUUAAAAGACCUAGUAAUAGGUAUGCUUUAGGAGGGGCUUGCGCCAUAUUAGUUAGUUGGUAGGGUAAUGGCCUACCAAGACGAUGAUGUGUAGCUGGACUGAGAGGUUGAACAGCCACAUUGGGACUGAGACACGGCCCAAACUCCUACGGGAGGCAGCAGUAGGGAAUUUUCGGCAAUGGAGGAAACUCUGACCGAGCAACGCCGCGUGAAUGACGAAGUACUUCGGUAUGUAAAGUUCUUUUAUCAAGGAAGAAAAGCAAAUGGCGAACCAUUUGUUUGCCGGUACUUGAUGAAUAAGCCCCGGCUAAUUAUGUGCCAGCAGCCGCGGUAAGACAUAAGGGGCAAGUGUUAUCCGGAAUUAUUGGGCGUAAAGGGUGCGUAGGCGGUCUAGUAAGUCAGUGGUGUAAUGGCAACGCUUAACGUUUUCCGGCUAUUGAAACUGCUAAACUUGAGUUAGAUAGAGGCGAGUGGAAUUCCAUGUGUAGCGGUAAAAUGCGUAAAUAUAUGGAGGAACACCAGAGGCGUAGGCGGCUCGCUGGGUCUUAACUGACGCUGAGGCACGAAAGCGUGGGGAGCAAACAGGAUUAGAUACCCUGGUAGUCCACGCCGUAAACGAUGAGUACUAAGUGUCGGGUUAAACCGGUACUGAAGUUAACACAUUAAGUACUCCGCCUGAGUAGUACGUACGCAAGUAUGAAACUUAAAGGAAUUGACGGGACUCCGCACAAGCGGUGGAUCAUGUUGUUUAAUUCGAAGAUACCCGAAAAACCUUACCAGGUCUUGACAUGUUUUUGCAAAAUGAUAGUAAUAUCGUGGAGGUUACCAGAAACACAGGUGGUGCAUGGUUGUCGUCAGCUCGUGUCGUGAGAUGUUAGGUUAAGUCCUAAAACGAGCGAAACCCUUAUCGUUAGUUGCCAGCACGUUAUGGUGGGGACUUUAACGAGACUGCCAAUGAUAAAUUGGAGGAAGGUGAGGAUCACGUCAAAUCAGCAUGCCCCUUAUGACCUGGGCUACAAACGUGAUACAAUGGCUGUUACAAAGGGUAGCUGAAACGCAAGUUCUUGGCCAAUCCCCAAAAACAGUCCCAGUCCGGAUUGAAGUCUGCAACUCGACUUCAUGAAGUUGGAAUCGCUAGUAAUCGCGAAUCAGCAUGUCGCGGUGAAUACGUUCUCGGGGUUUGUACACACCGCCCGUCAAA
rnacentral:rRNA from 1 species